UUAGCUCAAUUGGAUAGAGCAUUUGGCUACGAACCAAAAGGUUGAGGGUUCAAAUCCUUCA
rnacentral:tRNA from 1 species